UACAGAGGGUGCAAGCGUUAAUCGGAAUUACUGGGCGUAAAGCGUGCGUAGACGGUUGCGUAAGUCAGAUGUGAAAGCCCCGGGCUCAACCUGGGAAUUGCAUUUGAGACUGCGUAGCUAGGGUGCGGAAGAGGGAAGCGGAAUUUCCGGUGUAGCGGUGAAAUGCGUAGAUAUCAGGAGGAACACCGGUGGCGAAGGCGGAUCUCUGGGCCGAUACUGACGCUGAGGAGCGAAAGCGUGGGGAGCGAACAGG
rnacentral:rRNA from 1 species